AGGGUUCGAUUCUGGCUCAGGAUGAACGCUGGCGGCGUGCCUAAUACAUGCAAGUGAAACGGGUAUCUUCGGAUACCAGUCGCGGACGGGUGAGUAAUACAUAGGCAACCUGCCUUUAUGAGGGGGAUAACCGAGGGAAACUUUGGCUAAUACCGCAUGAAGACUCUAAGGCAUCUUAGAGGGAUAAAAGUUGGGAAACAACGCAUGAAGAUGGGCUUAUGGCGCAUUAGCUAGUUGGUGAGAUAGAAGCCCACCAAGGUAAUGAUGCGUAGCCGACCUGAGAGGGUGAACGGCCACAUUGGGACUGAGACACGGCCCAAACUCCUACGGGAGGCAGCAGUAGGGAAUUUUCGGCAAUGGGGGGAACCCUGACCGAGCAACGCCGCGUGAAGGAAGAAGGUUUUCGGAUUGUAAACUUCUGUUAUAAGGGAAGAACGGAUUGGAUAGGGAAUGAUCUGAUAGUGACGGUACCUUAUUAGAAAGCCACGGCUAACUACGUGCCAGCCGCCGC
rnacentral:rRNA from 1 species